AUUGAACGCUGGCGGCAGGCCUAACACAUGCAAGUCGAGCGGUAGAGAGAAGCUUGCUUCUCUUGAGAGCGGCGGACGGGUGAGUAAUGCCUAGGAAUCUGCCUGGUAGUGGGGGAUAACGUUCUGAAACGGACGCUAAUACCGCAUACGUCCUACGGGAGAAAGCAGGGGACCUUCGGGCCUUGCGCUAUCAGAUGAGCCUAGGUCGGAUUAGCUAGUUGGUGGGGUAAUGGCUCACCAAGGCGACGAUCCGUAACUGGUCUGAGAGGAUGAUCAGUCACACUGGAACUGAGACACGGUCCAGACUCCUACGGGAAGCAGCAGCGGGGAAUAUUGGACAAUGGGCGAAAGCCUGAUCCAGCCAUGCCGCGUGUGUGAAGAAGGUCUUCGGAUUGUAAAGCACUUUAAGUUGGGAGGAAGGGCAGUAAAUUAAUACUUUGCUGUAUUGACGUUACCGACAGAAUAAGCACCGGCUAACUCUGUG
rnacentral:rRNA from 1 species